rnacentral:tRNA from 1 species
GGUUCUGUGGUGUAAUGGUUAGCACUUUGGACUCUGAAUCCAAUGAUGCAAGUUCAAGUCUCGGCAAAACCU